rnacentral:rRNA from 1 species
GGCGAUGAAGGACGUGAUAAGCUGCGAUAAGCUUCGGGUAGGUGCAAAUGACCUUUGAUCCGAAGAUUUCCGAAUGGGACAACCCGGCAUUCUGAAGGAAUGUCAUCCAACCUGGUUGGAGGCUAACGCAGGGAACUGAAACAUCUUAGUACCUGCAGGAAAAGAAAAUAAAUAAUGAUUCCCCUAGUAGUGGCGAGCGAACGGGGAUUAGCCCAAACCACCC